AGAGUUUGAUCCUGGCUCAGAUUGAACGCUGGCGGCAGGCCUAACACAUGCAAGUCGAACGGUAACAUUUCUAGCUUGCUAGAAGAUGACGAGUGGCGGACGGGUGAGUAAUGCUUGGGAACUUGCCUUUGCGAGGGGGAUAACAGUUGGAAACGACUGCUAAUACCGCAUAAUGUCUACGGACCAAACGGGGCUUCGGCUCCGGCGCAAAGAGAGGCCCAAGUGAGAUUAGCUAGUUGGUAAGGUAACGGCUUACCAAGGCGACGAUCUCUAGCUGUUCUGAGGGGAAGAUCAGCCACACUGGGACUGAGACACGGCCCAGACUUCUACGGGAGGCAGCAGUGGGGAAUAUUGCACAAUGGGGGAAACCCUGAUGCAGCCAUGCCGCGUGUGUGAAGAAGGCCUUCGGGUUGUAAAGCACUUUCAGUUGUGAGGAAAAGUUAGUAGUUAAUACCUGCUAGCCGUGACGUUAACAACAGAAGAAGCACCGGCUAACUCCGUGCCAGCAGCCGCGGUAAUACGGAGGGUGCGAGCGUUAAUCGGAAUUACUGGGCGUAAAGCGCACGCAGGCGGUUUGUUAAGCUAGAUGUGAAAGCCCCGGGCUCAACCUGGGAUGGUCAUUUAGAACUGGCAGACUAGAGUCUUGGAGAGGGGAGUGGAAUUCCAGGUGUAGCGGUGAAAUGCGUAGAUAUCUGGAGGAACAUCAGUGGCGAAAGCGACUCCCUGGCCAAAGACUGACGCUCAUGUGCGAAAGUGUGGGUAGCGAACAGGAUUAGAUACCCUGGUAGUCCACACCGUAACGCUGUCUACUAGCUGUGUGUGCCUUUAAGCGUGCGUAGCGAAGCUAACGCGCUAAGUAGACCG
rnacentral:rRNA from 1 species